GCCGCAGUUAUAGGCUUGUUACUUUAAUAGCCCGAUGUUCCUGGGGACUCGGCUAAGGUUAUUCAUGUUUAAUGUAACUCAAAUCAAAUGAAAACAGUUAUUGUAGGCAGGUAAGUUUCCCUAGCUGGUCCCCUCUGUGUAAAUGCGUUCUUAUUCAAGUUUUCAACUCAGUCAUUCGUUUAAGAUGCAAUCUUGUGUUAUAAGUAUUAGGCUAUCAUGAUUAUACAGUGAGCAAGCUAUAUAAAUAAGUAUUUAAUAUAAUAAAAGUGUAGAGCAACAACCGAGGUUGUAAGGUAAAGGCUGAAUAUUGUAGAUUUAUUACAAUAUGUUGCAUGUUUGAAUUAAAAUACCUGUGGAUAUGCAACUUCCCACUAAUGAAAGUUUUAUUCAAAAGGAGCACACACUCUACAAAGGCCUGACUGGAGAUUUGCCUGAUCUAUCCAUCCUUCAGGUGAGUAGGGAUAUAACAAUAGCACAUUUCACUGUACAGUAUGAUAUAUCAACCAAAAUCUGUAUACCAAUAUUUCAUUUUCUUUUUCCUCCCCUUUUACAAACAAAUAUUCUGCUUCAAAGAAAAAAAAUGAAAUUGAUGUUAUCAUAAGGGUUCUUCAUUAUGAACUUGUAUGCCAUGCAUAACAUACUGUGGAUAGAAUUUACAGGGAAAGUUACUGGUAUGAUAAUUGUGGUUAUAUUAUAUUACUAUUAUAUUUAGUGUAUUGCUAAUCAAUAUAUUGUUACUUCCCAGAUGACAGCGGCUCGCUUCAAGAGCAGGUGAAGCAAGUUGGGACAAUGUUGAAGACAUUUGCUCGCACUGGGUAAUCAGGUGCAGAACAAACCCUAAUGCUGCGACGUCUUGGAAUUUGGCGAUGUUGUGUGUAGCAUGGACGACAAAAUGCUAUGCUGCAACGUUUCAGUGCCAAUGUGUCUGUUGGAGAGUUAUCCCUGCCAGGGGAUCUGUUACUCCCCCCUAGACACCCAGGAAGAUUUGGCGUUGCUUGACAACAGUUUGAGGCAGGAUAAAGAGCUCCAGCAACGAUUUCUUCGGUUUUUGGCAAUCAAAUGUGGGAGGGACCUAAAGACAACCGUGUGGC